UCCCUGGAGGACUAGUGGUUAGGCCACGGCGCUCUGACUGCCAGGGCCGGGUUCGAUUCCCGGCCAGGUAA
rnacentral:tRNA from 1 species